GCAUGGCGAAUAAGUGGUGGGUAAGACUGGUGCCAGCCGCCGCGGUAACACCAGCGCCACGAGUGGCUAUCGCGAUUAUUGGGCCUAAAGCGUCCGUAGUCGGUUCUGUGCAUCUUCUGUGAAAUCGCAGCGCUCAACGUUGCGGCAUGCGGGAGACACGGCAGAACUUGAGACCGGGAGGCGUGUAGGGUAUUCCACGGGGACCGGUAAAAUGGUAUAAUCCGUGGAGGACCACCUGCGGCGAAGGCGCUACACGAGAACGGAUCUGACGAUGAGGGACGAAAACCAGGGGAGCAAACCGGAUUAGAUACCCGAGUAGUCCUGGCCGUAAACGCUGUCUGCUAGGUGUUGCACCGACUUGAGUCGUUGCAGUAUCGGAGCGAAGGUAUUAAGCAGACCGCCUGGGAAGUACGGUCGCAAGACUGAAACUUCAAGGAAUUGGCGGGGGAGCAC
rnacentral:rRNA from 1 species